UCCAGAGUGACGGAACGACUCUUCCUCCGGUAAUGCGGUGGCCCGGUCACAAGUCCGG
rfam:Clostridium thermocellum ATCC 27405, complete genome.